rnacentral:rRNA from 1 species
GACGAACGCUGGCGGCGUGCUUAACACAUGCAAGUCGAAGAUGGUGGCGAACGGGUGAGUACUACGUGGUUAACCUGCCCUCCUUUUUGGGCUACGCCUUGGAAACGGGGUUUACUCCCGAUUUAAGGGGGACGGGGUGGCGGCGUUUCCGCUUGUUGGUGGGGUUAUGGCAGACCAAGGCGGUGACGGGUAGCCGGCCUGAGAGGGUGACCGGCGACAGUGGGACGGACAUACGGCCCAGACUCCUACGGGAGGCAGCAGUGGGGGAUAUUGCACAAUGGGCGAAAGACGGAUGCAGCGACGACGCGGGGGGGAUGCAGGCUGUCAGGUUGUAAACCUCGUUCGCUAUCGAAUGGGUAGGUGGAGAAGAAGCGCCGGCUAACUACGUGCCAGCAGCCGCGGUAAUAC